CCUGGUGUACAUGUGUGUGCAGCCUCUUUGAGUGAACUACCUGGUGUACAUGUGUGUGCAGCCUCUUUGAGUGAAUUGCCUGCAAAGUCUGGGAUAUGUGGCCUACCCAGCCUCACUCCCUCAGAACAGUGACACGGUAUCAACUGGGAGGUUGUUCCAGAUAAUUUUAUCCAGAUUGCACAUGUGACCAACAUGUUUCAGGUGUGGAGAACCCACCGGUUACAUCUUUUAUCACAAGGUGAGGAAAACGAUGAGCAGGAGAAAGAGAAGGGGAUGAGGAGAUGGUUCAGUCAAUAAAGUUUCUUUUGUGCAAACAUAACUGUGUCAGUUCAGAUCCCCUGACACUCCUAGGAAAGGUGAGUGUAGUGUAGUGCAUGGCAGGUGUCCGUAACCAUAGGGCAAGCUUGCCCUAGAAUACGAUGGACAGGAAUUCAGGAAGACACCUGGCACCAACAUUUGACUUUAUACACACAUGCACAAAUGUGCAUACCAUGGAAAAGAAAGGAGAGGUAAAAAUGAGGGAGGGAGGAAGAGAGGGAGGGGAAAAAAGGCAGUCCACCCGAGGAACCUUAUAGCAAUGAUGCUCACACUUUGUGGUUGUGUUACAAUAUGAGUUCAGCCUCAGCAAGGAAGGCAGCGGGGCCCUAGAGUCUAUACUUGUAAGGAAUGCCAGGUUUGCUGACACUGUUGGUCCUCAGCCCACAUCUUGAACAGGGCAGCUAUCAAAUGCCGUGGGAGGAUGUAGGCUAUCCGAGAUGACACUGGGAAUGAGAUUCAGAUGUAGAUGGCCUUGUGCACAUACUUGCUGCAUGCUAUUUGUUUUUCUUUCAGGACAGCUGCAUAAGGAAGAUAUAUGUUACAUAAUCAAGGAAACAGCUUAAUUAGGAGCCAAAAUAGAAUUCAAACUAAGAUCUGCCCUGAUGCUAAAAGUAUGUUACCUCAAUUGUUUCAAGCGGGAAAAGACGCAAAAGUGAAGUCUGUUGGUCAGAGGGUAGUGGGGAGGCUGAAGGAUAAAUUCGGUCAAUUUCUGCAGUCUUUUCAAUUUCUCCAUCUUCUUCAUCCUUCUCAUGUGUCCUCCAGGGUUCUUACUGUUUGAAACUGCCAUCUGCUUGGCCAUUUGCUUCAUUCUCCUCUUAAAGAAAUAGGCCUUUUUAAAAAGAAGUUUAGGCUUUAUUGUUUGCACAGUUAAGAAAUAGAUUACAUUUGUCUAGGAUUUAACCACACUGCUGAGGUUUUUUUCUUUUUUAAUAUUUUACAUUUAUUUGUGACUGAGAAGAGAGAAUAUUUUAUUUUUACUAUUUUAUACUUACUUAUUGUGUUUGUGCAUGAGUACGUGUGUGUGUGCGCGCACGCGCGCGCUAACGCAUGUGCGCACGUGGGUGGGCACAAGAUCACAGGAUAACUUUUGGGAGUCUGUUCUCUUUCCCUCAUGUGUACUCCAGUCAUUGAAUUUAGGUCAUCAGGACUGGUAGCAAUAGCAGUUACCCCCUGGGCUUUCUCACCAGUCUAUAUAUUCAAGAAUUUUAUUGAUAUUUGCCUUCCUAGAAAGUACCAGAAUAUCUCUGCAUCCAAAGCGUUUGUAACAUGGGGUUUAGUAAGAACUGUGACAUAAGUGCUAGAUGAACAGGGUUGUUAUUGGUACAUUUAAGAAGUUGGAAAAUAGAUGCCUCAAGUCCAGUAGGUAGAACUCAAGUUGUGUUAGGAAAUACUUUAAAACAGCUGAUAUCAUCGUAGUUCUGGGGUAUUUUGUUGGUUUGUUUGUUUUUGAGUUGGUAUUGUGUAGCUCAGGCUAGCCUCCAACUUACUAUGCACAUGAAGAUGACCUAGAACUUCUAAUCCUCCUAAGUGCUUGGACUGUAGGUAUGUAUCACCAUGCCUGGUUACUGUGGUGCUGGGGGUCAAAACCAGAACUCUGUGCUUACUAGACAGAUAUCCUAUCUGCCGAGGCCUAUUUCCAGCCUCAUGGCUCCUGAUUUCUGUCCAUCAACAAUCAAUUUGAUUUAUCUAAAUGGGCCCAGAAAUGUUUAUUGAAGUAAUUUUUAUCAUUUUAUUAGUUUUUCUGAACUUAACAGUUACCGACAAACUGUUCUGAAUGCCAAUUAAUGUAUUAUCGGUUAAUAGACAGCAUUCCCAAGAUCCACAUUAAUACUUAAAAGUAGUUAUAGUUCUAUAGAGUAGCAACAUUCAUUCAUACGUUGAGACUUACUGGCUGACUCAUUGCCUCUGACUUUACUGUGCUCCAGUCACAUAGACCUCCAUGCUUUUCCUCCAGGAAAGCCAUGUACGCUUCUGCCUUGGGGACAGUCUUGACUGUCCUAUUAGCAUGAAUGUCCUUGCUCCAGACAUCUACAUGUCACACUCCCUUACUAUCUUCUGAUUUUUUUUCCAUAUGUCAUGAUAUUCUCUCUCUUCAUCCCCAUAGCAGUCUUUUGGUUAGAGUUCACAUUAUCCUUCAACAACCUCAGAGUCGCUAAUUCUGUCAGUGUUUUCUGAAUCUUUGUUGACUGCAGAUGGAGGUUUGAACUUUUUAUUAUAAAUUGAGGUAGGGUUGUGGCUUCAGCUCUGUGAUAGGGCACUCGCCUAGCAAGCUUGAGGACCUGAGCUCAAUCACUGGCACCAAAGCUAAAAAAAUGAUGAUGUCAGCAACUUUGGGCUUAAACUUCAUUCUCAAGCUGUGGUUUAAGAGUGAGGAGCUAUUUCAGCACUUUAGGCUUCAUCACUGCCCUCCACAGCCAUUCUGGGUCAUUGGUCAACCUGCCAAAUCAUUAGCUUCAAAACUUGCCAAUCAUAGCAUCCUUCCCAUAUAGGCCAAUGAUAGGCAUGCUUUAUUCCAUGCCACAGAGUCAAGGAUGACAGGAACCUGCACGACAGACAGGCUCUGCAAUCUUCCACAAAAACUCUCUAGAGCUGAGCUCCUAUAUUACUUCUGGGUUUGAUGCAAUGGGAUUUUCUUUAAAUCGUUCUCUACUUUGUUUCCAGUAGGAGCUGACCACAUAGCAGCAUGGAAACAGCGGGGAAUGCUAUUUACUGUAUGAAUCAGGACAAAGAAAAUACAGAGGUGCAUCUUCCAUGAGAUGUCAGAAUGCACAGUCCCCAGCUUACUGCAGCUUAGCUUAUAAUUUCUCAGUUUUCUCAUGCUGGGAAAGUAAAAUGAAUUCACUUGAUGCUGUACUUUAAAGUUUGAUCUUUUCCUGGGCUAGCAAUAUAUAUAGUAUGAUUCUCUCCUUGGAGAACUUGGAAGACUUUGAGGAGAACUGUGGGGUGGGAUGUGGCCCUCCAUAGGCCCAUGUUCUUUUUUUAAAGUGUGUGUGUGUGUGUGUGUGUGUGUGUGUGUGUGUGUGUGUGUAUUCACAUGUAAGGGUGCAAGUGCCCACAUGCCAUGGUGCAUGUGGUGGUCAAAGGACAACUGCUAGUGUUGGCCUAUGCCUUGCCCCUUGAGACAGAACUCAUAUUUGAUGCUCUUAUAUGCUAGGCUAGGUGACAGUUAAGCUUUCAUUAAGUCCCCUGUCUCCACUUCUCAUCUCCCAGUGCUAGGAUUAGAGACACAGGCUACUAUGUCUGCUUUAUAUGGCUUCUGGAGAUCUGAACUUGCGCCUUCAUACUUGUGAGAUAAGUGCGUUAUUCACUGAGGCAUCUCCCCAGCCUUGAUACUUCCUUUUGUUUAUUUUAAAUUUUAGAUGUAUUCAUUUUACUUGGUGUGUGUGUGAUUUCACAUAUAUGUAUGUGUGUAUAUAUAUCACAUUUGUGCCUGGUGCCUGAGGAAGCCAGAAGAUGGUAUCAGCUUCUCCUAGAACGAAGUUGCAGAUGGUUGUGAGCUACCAUUUGGGUGCUGGGAAUCCAAGCCGGAAUCAAGAGCAGCAAGUGUUCUUAACUGCUGACCUAACUCUCCAACCCUACGGAUGUUUCCUUUUGUUAACUGAUGUCUACAGAGGAUAGAGCUUGGAGAAGAAUCUAGGGAGCUAUGGCUCAGUGGGAUGGCAGAGAUUUCUGAGGAGGAGAGGAGGAGCAAUGGGGACUGCUUCGGGGAAAGAAAUAGCUGGAAAGGGGUUGAGCAUUUGUGCUUGAUCAGCUUCUUCAGGAGACGCACCUUUACUUCAGCCCAUGUCUGCCCCUAGCUCAGCACUCCUAACUGAGUUGUGCCAAGCUUCUGUGGCAGGGGGUUACUAGGUUGAAACUUGUCCCCAGGUGGGUGAGGAAAGAACAAGGAUACACGAAGAACUGGUGACAUUGGGCUCCUGCUCCUUUCACUCAUCCAAAAUCAAAAGGCCACGAGUUAUACUGUACAAUUCCAGUUAUAUGAAAUAUCCAGAACAGGUGUGUUAGUGGUUGUUAGUGGGUAAGAAGGGAGGAAAACAGAGUAAGAGGUAUACAGAUCGUUUAGAAUGAUGGAAAAUUCUGGAAUCAGUUGCAGAAUAUUAUUUUAACUAGGCAAAGAUGUGUUACAUUUGUUUAUGCUGCAGAAUAUUACUUUAACUGUGUAAAGGUAUGUUACUUUUGUUUAUACUGUAUUUGUUUAACAAUAUAAGGAUGUGUGUUUAAUUAUGUAAACAACAUACAUUGCAUCUCUUUCACCUUACCUGCCUAAGGCACCUAGUUAGUCUAAUAUAGCUGAACAGUCAAUAGCUGGGCAGAGCGAAAGAAAAAGCAGGGCUGGCAAGGAGACAGAAUAAAUAGGAGGAAAAAUCUAGGCUCCAAAAGAAAGAAGAAGGAAGAAGAACAAGAAAGGAGGAGACGAAGCGAGACACAUCCAGGGCAAGAAGCCAGGCAGACACCAGACAGACAGGAGAAGCAGGGAAAGUAAGAUAUGCAGAAGUAAGAAAGGUAAUAAGCCCUGAGGCAAAACACAGAAUGAAGACAAAACGGUUAAGUUAUAAUAAGAGCUAAUCAUAAAAGAGCUAACCUAAGGCUGGGGAUUCAAAACUAAUAAGUCUCUGUGUUAUGAUUUGGGAGCUGGCUGGUGUCCCCGAAGAAAAAGCCUGGUACAGAUGGUGUUGACUAUUGUGUUGCUAUUGUAAAUAUUCUAUGGAGUUAUUUUAUUUAUUUAUUUUGUGUGUGGAGUGGGACAGGCAUGCAUUUUCCAUGGUGCAUAUGUUAAGGUCUUUGAUUUUGUUUGUGUCGGGAUCUCUUCUUUGUUGUAUGGCUGCAUACGCUAGGCUAGCUGGCCAGAGACCUUCCAGGGCUGGUGUUGUCUUUACCUCCUAUCUCUUUAUAUAGGAGCACUGGGGUUACAGACAUGUCACUGCACAUAGCUGUCAUAUGGGUUCAGGAGAUUUGAACUAAGUUCCACAUGCUUGUAUGGCAAGUACUUCUCCCACUGAACCAUCUCUCCAGCCAGUGAAUAUUGUGGUAUGUAGAUUGUAUUUUUUUUAAUGUAAGACUGAUAUUUUUUCUCUGCACCAAAUUCAUGCAACAUGCACCAUGAAAACCCAUUAUCCAGCAAUCUGGAACAUUUCCCCCACAUGUCACUCUCUAAGGAAGACGAGGGUUCUGUUCUCCUCAGAGUUCACAUGGCAACUGAGGGUCAGUUGUGUUGAGCACAAUUCUUUCAUGAGCAAAUGUGUGUUGUGCAUAUCCUUACACUUCCCUGGCUUCCACAGUCUUCUGCUGCGCAGACAGGAUGGAAGCUGAUACUGUGAUAUAAGCAAAAACGAAAGUUUAAUGCAGAUAAGCAAAAAAGAAUGUUUAAUGCAGAUAGAGGUUAGUGACAUCCAAAAUAAAAUGAAUUGUUAAGAAUAAUGCAAGUCAGUUCAUCUUUAUAGGCCUCAUAUUGGGGAUUUUUUUUGCAGCAUCAAUCUUCACCCUUCCAGAAGGUUGCAAAAAAUCACAGCAUCCCACUGAAACUCUAUAGAAAAUCUUGAUGCAGUAGAUGAACUACAAAACUUCCCUAGUCUUUGUGACUUUGAAGUCUAAUAAAGGAAGAACAUCUAUUUUCCUGAAAUCUGUCUGGCUCUGUGAAUUGCUGUGGCCAAGAAAAUAUGACAGAAGGGACUCACUUCCAUCACCUCCUUUGGAACCGUGCUGAGAUACAAGCAAGUCCAGAGUAAUCUGCCAAGUGACAAAAACCAUCUGCGUGGCUAUUUGCACCACCUCAGUCAAUAAUCAGCUAACUGGCCAACAUAUCAAGGAAACCAUUUUAGUUCAGCCUGCCUUCAAGCCUAGAUCCAUGCAUGAGCUAACCACAAUCCACCAAGGCUAGCCCAGUUUAGCGGAACUCUUCGUGUGAUUGUAUACAAGUCAAUAAUAAAUUCAUAAUGUUUUAAGCUA